rnacentral:misc_RNA from 1 species
CUUGAUAGCACUAUUAUAUUAAGCAUGAUUAGUUAACAUGUGACAGACUUGUCAACAAAAUUGUCACCUAAUACAUGGGCUUUGGCUGUGGGUCACAUGCUUUUGUGAUAGAAAUGGUUUGUUCUGAUAUUUGAUGUGAAUCAAAACCAUGUGCUCACUCACUCAUCACCUGCAACUCACAGCAGGUAUGCAAUGAGCAGCAACCAUGGCAGGCAAGAACCACUAUGUUCUGCAGAAUAGCACUCAGGUUAAGAGGUUGUAGCUUCCUCAAAUACCCAGAAUACAGAAUAGGACAAUCAUGUUUAUUACCACAAUACACCUUUCAACUCAUCGGUAGACAAACAAAUACUAGGUACAUUAUAUUGUAUACUAUAAUUAAUGGAAAAUUAACAUGGAAAUAGAGAAAUUCUCUAACAUAGUACAGCCACUGGAUGUUUUAGGAAGCAAAUAACUCACAUUUUUAAAAGCUGAAAUGACCAAAAUAGUAUACACCCUACAGCAGCAGCUAAGUUCACUAAGGUUUCAGGUGCUGCAGAGGAGGCUGGAAAUGACACUAGUGGUGAAAAUGCAGAAUCAGGGCCUGGUGCAGUCAACUCAUCUGGAUUAGGUGGGCUUUGGGUGGAGGGAAUGGUAGGCAAAGAUGAUACGGUUGGAGAAGGCAACACACCACCAGGAGAAGGCAGAAGAGGAGCAAUAUCUGGUGACAACUCCUGGAAAGGAGACAGAGGUGGAGAGUUUUGUAGGGAUGCUGGAGAAGUUGGGAUAGUUGAAUCUUGUGAAUUGAGCGGAGUAGAUGAAGAAAGAAAUGGGAAGAUGAUUAAAGAUAAAAUGAAUGAUAAGAGAAACCAAAAGGAGGCCAUUCUAAUGAUGAAGGAAAUCAAUGCCAUACUUAAUGGAGAGAGUAAAAUAUAGUAGUGAGAGAGUGUAAUGAAAGUUUUUAUUUGAAGAAAUUGUGGGGGCUGUGGACAG